rnacentral:misc_RNA from 1 species
GAACAAAUUAGCUUUGGCUUUUCUACUUUUACAAGAUGAUGAUAGAGAUCAGAAUGCUAACUGUACAAAAUUAGAAGGAAAAAGAAGAGAAUUAAGGAGAAGGAAGUUUACAAAGAAGGUAGAUCGAUUGAAUACUAAUGGAGGUUUAAGCCUAAUUAAUAUUAUUUAAUUUCUUGAUUUUGUUCUUAUGGCUUUACUCGAACCCAUUCGUAACGUCCUUCCAACGGAACAUCCUCAACAAUAUCGUAAUUAUACUUCUCAGCGAAACGUUUCUGGAUGUUUUUCUCGGCGGCGAUGAAGAAUUCUUCCAGCUCCGAUUCCGCCGGCAUCUUCACCGAAGACGAAGAUCUAUUGCCGGAAGUUGCUUCGCUUUUCCUUGCCGGAGACUCCAU